rnacentral:rRNA from 1 species
CGCACAAGCAGCGGAGCAUGUGGUUUAAUUCGAAGCAACGCGAAGAACCUUACCAGGGCUUGACAUUUAGGUGAAGCGGCGGAAACGUCGUGGCCGAAAGGAGCCUAAACAGGUGGUGCAUGGCUGUCGUCAGCUCGUGUCGUGAGAUGUUAGGUUAAGUCCUGCAACGAGCGCAACCCUCGUCGUAUGUUGCCAGCGGUUAGGCCGGGCACCCAUACGAGACCGCCGGCGUCAAGCCGGAGGAAGGUGGGGACGACGUCAAGUCAUCAUGCCCCUUAUGUCCUGGGCUACACACGUGCUACAAUGGCCGGCACAAUGGGCUGCCAACCCGCGAGGGUGAGCGAAUCCCUAAAGCCGGUCCCAGUUCGGAUUGGAGGCUGCAACCCGCCUCCAUGAAGUCGGAGUUGCUAGUAAUCGCGGAUCAGCACGCCGCGGUGAAUGCGUUCCCGGGCCUUGUACACACCGCCCGUCACACCACCCGAGUCGAUUGCACCCGAAGUCGUCGGCCUAACCUUUUAGGAGGGAGACGCCGAAGGUGUGGUUGGUAAGGGGGGUGAAGUCGUAACAAGGUAGCCGUACCGGAAGGUGCGGCUG